rnacentral:rRNA from 1 species
CUUUCCAAUCCCGCAAAGUGUGAUAAGGGAAUUCYAAGUGCUCAUGCAUUUGCAUGGGCUUUUGCCAAGAGUAAAUAUCUUGGAGAAUAAGUGGUGGGAAAGACUGGUGCCAGCCGCCGCGGUAACACCAGCGCCACGAGUGGCAAUCKUUUUUAUYGGGCCUAAAGCGUCCGUAGCCGGUUUKAUAAAUCUUUUGUGAAAUCGUUGCGCUUAACUUAACGGYGUGCAGGAGACACUGGUUAACUUGGGACUGGGGAGGAGUCAGAGGUAUUCUGGGGGAAGCGGUAAAAUGCUAUAWUCCUCGGARGAMCACCCGUGGSGGAAAGGCGUCUCACUAKAMCGRCUUUKACGGUGAGGGAAGAAAGCUAGGGGAGCAAACCGGAUUAGAUACCCCGGUAGYCCUGGCCAWYAUCCCCCCGMGCUUGGUGUUGCAAAUYUUUCSUGUUUGCACAGUGUCGAAGCGAAGUUGUUAAKCUCGCCGCCUCKAAC